rnacentral:rRNA from 1 species
UGAUUUUAGUGCUUGCACUAAAUGAAACUAGAUACAAGCGAGCGGCGGACGGGUGAGUAACACGUGGGUAACCUGCCCAAGAGACUGGGAUAACACCUGGAAACAGAUGCUAAUACCGGAUAACAACACUAGACGCAUGUCUAGAGUUUGAAAGAUGGUUCUGCUAUCACUCUUGGAUGGACCUGCGGUGCAUUAGCUAGUUGGUAAGGUAACGGCUUACCAAGGCAAUGAUGCAUAGCCGAGUUGAGAGACUGAUCGGCCACAUUGGGACUGAGACACGGCCCAAACUCCUACGGGAGGCAGCAGUAGGGAAUCUUCCACAAUGGACGAAAGUCUGAUGGAGCAACGCCGCGUGAGUGAAGAAGGGUUUCGGCUCGUAAAGCUCUGUUGGUAGUGAAGAAAGAUAGAGGUAGUAACUGGCCUUUAUUUGACGGUAAUUACUUAGAAAGUCACGGCUAACUACGUGCCAGCAGCCGCGGUAAUACGUAGGUGGCAAGCGUUGUCCGGAUUUAUUGGGCGUAAAGCGAGUGCAGGCGGUUCAAUAAGUCUGAUGUGAAAGCCUUCGGCUCAACCGGAGAAUUGCAUCAGAAACUGUUGAACUUGAGUGCAGAAGAGGAGAGUG